UACGGAGGUGCAAGCGUUAUCCGGAUUCACUGGGUUAAAGGGUGCGUAGGCGGGCAGGUAAGUCCGUGGUGAAAUCUCUGAGCUUAACUCAGAAACUGCCAUGGAUACUAUUUGUCUUGAAUAUUGUGGAGGUAAGCGGAAUAUGUCAUGUAGCGGUGAAAUGCUUAGAUAUGACAUAGAACACCAAUUGCGAAGGCAGCUUACUACACAGUUAUUGACGCUGAGGCACGAAAGCGUGGGGAUCAAACAGG
rnacentral:rRNA from 1 species